rnacentral:ncRNA from 1 species
UGCUAGGGGUGCCUUUGGCUGAGAAGCAGAUUCUGCUAACCCUCAACACCUGAUCUGGUUAGCACCAGCGUAGGGAAGUGUUUUUA